rnacentral:rRNA from 1 species
ACAUCCAGAGAACUUAACAGAGAUGCUUUGGUGCCUUCGGGAACUCUGAGACAGGUGCUGCAUGGCUGUCGUCAGCUCGUGUUGUGAAAUGUUGGGUUAAGUCCCGCAACGAGCGCAACCCUUAUCCUUUGUUGCCAGCGGCUCGGCCGGGAACUCAAAGGAGACUGCCGGUGAUAAACCGGAGGAAGGUGGGGAUGACGUCAAGUCAUCAUGGCCCUUACGGCCAGGGCUACACACGUGCUACAAUGGCGCAUACAAAGAGAAGCGACCUCGCGAGAGCAAGCGGACCUCACAAAGUGCGUCGUAGUCCGGAUUGGAGUCUGCAACUCGACUCCAUGAAGUCGGAAUCGCUAGUAAUCGUAGAUCAGAAUGCUACGGUGAAUACGUUCCCGGGCCUUGUACACACCGCCCGUCACACCAUGGGAGUGGGUUGCAAAAGAAGUAGGUAGCUUAACCUUCGGGAGGGCGCUUACCACUUUGUGAUUCAUGACUGGGGUGAAGUCGUAACAAGGUAGGCGUAGCGAG